CUUCCCCGAUAAAUCCCCAUCCACCUCUCCUCGAUGCCCACGCCCCAGCGCCACCACCCCCAAUCCCCAGUGCCCACUCCAGGCAUCCCACAACCACCCCACCCCCGACCGACCGGCCUCCUCUCCUUCCCGGCCGGAGUCCCGUCCCACCACCACGCACUGAUGCCGCCCAUGUACAGGCGCUGCCACACGCCGGAUCCGGUGGGAUCCGUCGAUCCCCGCCUUCAACGCCCACAUCCAGGGCCGCCAUACGGCCGGAUCCGGCGAGCCCCGCCUCCACCACCCCGGGCUGGAUCCCACUUCACCAUCCUGCAACCGGUGCGCCGCGCCAACCCGGCGCCGGCCCAUGCUCGCGCCGCCCCGCUGCCUCCUGUCUCCCACAUCACCUCCCUUCUGCCGUCGAUCGACCCCGUCGCCAGCCUGGUCUCGCGCCACCCCUGUGAGGGUUAGCCGAUCCCCCACGCUCGGGUCUGCCCUCGUCCCCGAUCUGGAUUGAGCCGCCGCUGGGAAGUUCAGCGUCACGGCGGGACAUCGUGCGGUUUGGCGCCCUCCCUCGUCAUCGGUCACGGCACCGCAGCCACCGGCCUCGAGCGUCCGCUCCUCCACCUUGAUCUUAUGCUUGCCGGUGUCGCCCCGGCCGAUCCAGACAGUUGGGUGGGAGUUGGGGUGUCUCGGGCGUCCAGCCGUGGGUUCCCCCCGAUGAGUUGGACGUCUGCUCCCCUCUCUCUCCACCUCCCAUCCCCGCGGGAGCAGUGAGGCGUGUCCCUGUGCAGUGCAGUGACCCCCAAGGUGCAGUGCCGUGUGCGUGUUGGAGAGGUUAACUUCAGCGUUGCUGUAUGUUCACUUGCGGCCGCCCCUUGAUUUUAAUUUUGAUUGUGUGUUGAACAGAAACUAAGGUUGGCCUUGCAGUUCGCUGGCAAGAAUCUGCCUCUCCCCCUCCGUAGAUGCAGUUUGGCCAGAAGGGCUUUGUGAGAACAGAAAAAAUUGUUGGAGCAACUUCCACUUCCUCUGAAGUCCACUUCGCCUGCAGGAGCAACUUGCGCUUCCUGUGCAGCGACCUAUGCAGUGGAGCCACCCCUUGUGGAGAACAAAGAAAAUGCCGGAGCCCAAAACUCAGAGCUCCCAGUGAAGUUCAGCGUUUUUGGGUGUUCAGUGUGCUACCAAUAACCCAUGUAAUCCACUAUGUUCUCUAAUGCAGACUAUUGUACUACGUGAAAAACAAACUCUAAAGAGAAAAAAUAAAAAGGAAAAUGCAGUG
rnacentral:rRNA from 1 species